UUGGAGGGCAAGUCUGGUGCCAGCAGCCGCGGUAAUUCCAGCUCCAAUAGCGUAUAUUAAAGUUGUUGCAGUUAAAAAGCUCGUAGUUGAAUUUCGGGGUUCUACCGUUGGUCGGGCUUUGUCUGUACUGGUGUGUAGAAUUUCUACCUUCUGGGGAACCAUCAUGCUAUUAAUUUAGCGUGGUGGGAAACCAGGACCUUUACCUUGAAAAAAUUAGUGUGUUCAAAGCAGGCUUAUGUCUGAAUACAUUAGCGUGGAAUAAUAGAAUAGGACGGUGGUCCUGUUUUGUUGGUUUUUGAAUCACCGUAAUGAUUAAUAGGGAUAGUUGGGGGCAUUAGUAUUCAAUUGUCAGAGGUGAAAUUCUUGGAUUUAUUGAAGACUAACUUCUGCGAAAGCAUUUGCCAAGGAUGUUUUCAUUAAUCAAGAACGAAAGUUAGGGGAUCGAAGACGAUCAGAUACCGUCGUAGUCUUAACCAUAAACUAUGCCGACUAGGGAUCGGACGAUGUUAAUUUUUCUUGACUCGUUCGGCGCCUUACGGGAAAC
rnacentral:rRNA from 1 species